CAGAGCACUCUUGUCUGUGUGCCAGAGUGCAGAAUAACUGAUGAAUUUACAAAUGCUCAACACCGGGUGAAUAUGGCCAGUGUCAGUAAACGUCAGCAAAAAAAGCUUCAUUAAAUUGUUGCUAACAGCAGAGUUACAGUCACCAAUGGAUAACAUGAAAACUGCCUAACCUGCUCUGAUAGGGCCCAUCCAUCCCCCCAGGUUAUUGUUGGCCAGCCAGCGUAUACAUGAGACGCUUCCUGAAGGUUUGACCAUGGGGCAGGGGUUUCCAGUACCUGGUUGACUGGGAGGGUAAUAGCCCGGAGGAGAGGUGCUGGGUUCCUGCUAAAGACAUCUCGGACCCGGCCCUCAUCGUCGAUUUCCACCACCGAUACCCCGGUCAGGCGCCCAGUCCUCCCCGUUUUGACCCUUGCCUGUUUCUGGACUGCACCUGCCUGCCUGACCAUUC